rfam:Triticum aestivum genome assembly, contig: Triticum_aestivum_CS42_TGACv1_scaffold_130123_2BL
CAGUUACUCCCUCCGUCCCAAAAUUCUUGUCUUAGAUUUGUCAAAAUACGGAUGUAUCAAGUCACGUUUUAGUAUUAGAUAUACCCGUAUCUAGACUAAUCUAAGACAAAUAUUUUGGGACGGAGGGAGUAUUUG